ACAAAGCACAAUAGCAGUAGAUUGACACCCCAAACGACAUCGGACAACAUAUAGAAAAUAAUAAGAAGGGAGCCCAAUUUUCGUUCCCUCUUUCAUAACCGGAGUGGGAGUCACCAGUUUUCCAGGAACAAGAAUUAGGGUUUUUAUUUCUGUAACAGAGAACAGCUGAAAACGACGAAGUAUCUGCUAACUCAAUACCCUAACUCACCACCCUCAACUUCUUCACUCCAAUCGGGAAGCCUUUGACGGAAGCACCGUUUCUUCUGCAUCAGUAGCGGAGCGAACCACUUCGGAAUCUGAGGUUAAAUAUCAGGUUGUAAUGGUCUUCUUACAUAUUUGAUGCUGAUUGAUGGAUCCUGAUAGCAAGAAGUUUGGAAGAGGACCUAGAGAACUUACAGGUGCUGUGGAUCUUAUAAGCCACUACAAACUGUUGCCUCACCACGAAUUCUUCUGUAAGAAGUCACUACCCUUGUCUAUCUCCGAUACACACUAUCUUCAUAAUGUGGUGGGAGACACAGAAAUUAGGAAAGGUGAAGGUAUGCAAUUGGAUCAGCUCAUUAAGGACACUUCCUUUUCAAGAGAGACAAAUGCACGCAUACAGCCAUUUGACCUAGAUGUUCUGAGAGAAGCCUUCCAAUUAAGGGAGACUGCACCAGUUGAUCUGCCUCCUUCUGAGAAGGGUAUUCCUACCAUAGCUGCAAAAUCAAAAAGCGAGUCUAAAGACAAGGAAAAGAAGCAUAAAAAGCACAAGGACAAGGACAAGGACAAGGAUAAAGAACACAAGAAGCACAAACAUCGUCAUAAAGAUCGGAGUAAAGAUAAAGACAAGGAGAAAAAGAAAGAUAGAAGUGGCCAUCAUGAUUCUGGUGCUGAGCACUCAAAGAAACAUCAUGAAAAGAAAAGGAAGCAUGAUGGGGAUGAAGAUCUCAGUGAUGUUCACAAGCACAAGAAAAGUAAGCAUAAGAGCUCAAAGAUUGAUGAGAUGGGUGCGAUAAAGGUAGCAGGCUAAUUAAAGGCAGACAGUUCUUUGUAAUUUUUUAGUCCUCUGAUGUUGCAGUUGAGAAUUUGGAGGAGUCCUUUACUUACUAUUGUUCAAGUCCAUAUAUCUGAGAAGUCUCUGGAUUAACCAAAAGAGUGCCCAGAAGGUGAAUUCACCUGUUGACGUAAAUUUUUUUGAAGGGUUCAAAAUGCUGGAAAUCAUCAGUGUAUAUUCGUAUAUUGACAGUGAUGUUGAAUGUUUUGAGUCUGUCUUACUUAAUGUGCAUCUAGAUGUGUCAGGUGGUGUAUACUUUCUUUCCUUUGUUGCCCUGGUGUUUUGUUUCCUUCAAAGAGUCCGAUCAAGUUUUACAAGUAGUCAUAGCCAAGUUGCAGUUCUCGGUAGUAAAGAAUGAAUAGGCUGAGAUAGGUGAAUGUGUAUUCUAAUUUCAUUCCCAUUUUGUUCAGAGAGGAGGGCGGACAUCUUUUAUUCUGUGUAGGAGAACUUGUCUCUUUCAAAGGAAUUAAUUUUCUGUAUAAUGGAAUAAUUGAUGGCUUAUUCAUCAGGGCUAGACAUUUCAUUGUAAAUAUCAGAAUAUAGCUUGAAUUGAUACUAUUUUGAGUCAUUAUAUCUAAUAUUCUUUGGAGGUAGCAAUAUGUUACUUAUUUGCUUA